GACGAACGCUGGCGGCGUGCUUAACACAUGCAAGUCGAAGCGGUAAGGGCCCUUUCGGGGGUAACACGAGCGGCGAACGGGUGAGUAACACGUGGGUGACCUGCCCUCAGCUCUGGGAUAAGCCCGGGAAACUGGGUCUAAUACCGGAUAUGACUUCAUGACGCAUGUUGUGGAGUGGAAAGCCUUGUGCGGCUGAGGAUGGGGCCCGCGGCCUAUCAGCUUGUUGGUGGGGU
rnacentral:rRNA from 1 species